rnacentral:rRNA from 1 species
UACGGAGGGGGCUAGCGUUGUUCGGAAUUACUGGGCGUAAAGCGCGCGUAGGCGGACCUGCAAGUCGGGGGGGAAAGCCCGAGGCUCAACCUCGGAACUGCCUUCGAUACUGCGGGUCUCGAGUCCGGGAGAGGUGAGUGGAAUUCCUAGUGUAGAGGUGAAAUUCGUAGAUAUUAGGAAGAACACCGGUGGCGAAGGCGGGUCUCUGGGCAACAACUGACGCUGAGGAGCGAAAGCGUGGGGAGCGAACAGG